ACUUGUACCGAGAGAAGUCGUAUAAUUAGACUAAUUAAUAAUAAGCGAAGAGUCUAUUAGUACUAACGUAACUGACGCGUCACACGACUCGAAGCGAUCACAACAGAACAACUCGUCAACCGAACCGAACGAUCCGCUAGAGUCACGGUGUCGCUGACCGUUGUCUCCAUGACAACCAACAACACACAACUUCGAGGAAGAGAAUUUGCCGCCAUUGUGAGGAUCGCAUUAAACGCUAAGGUUCCGUUCGGUGUGAGCUAGUACGAUUAAUGGAAAAAAAGGACGAGCGCCGUCGCUUGUGUGAAACGACCUAUGAACGAGGAACGAAUACUGCGUUCACGCGUCGAGGACCAAACUCAGAAUUGUACUCUACGAUUCGGAGGAUUCUCGUUUUCUCUUCUUUUCGUACAUAUACCAAGAAAUAAGUGUAGAAAACAUGUACAAUGGAGAUGGCCUCAUGCAAACGAUUUAUCACGUGUUCAAGUGAGCAACGAAUCUCUUAAGACAGAAAUUAAUAUGCUCGAGAUGCAUAAGAGUAUUCGAAAUGGUUUCUCGCUACUCGAAUUUCAAUGCAGUCUUGGCGGUCUGAUAUCUUUGUGCAAUUGAACUUUGGUGAUAAACUAACAAGGAUGUUGUUAUAUUAUAUUCAUGACUAUGAGAGACGACGUCGAACGUGAAAAAUGAGCCGCCUGUGACAGUGGACUGCCAUCGUAGGUACUUUAAGUGUUUCGGAAUCAGUGUGUCUCUUCGUCAUAUGUAUCUAUUUUUGGGACAACAGAAGAAAAUGAAACGAGAGACAGAGAAACUUUGAAAUCCGUCGUUACGAACAAGCCUUGGGAUCAUAGAACGACGUAGUAUGUUCUUUUAAGGUAAUGGCACUACGACUUGCACGUAAGUUACUGGGAAGAAACCCGUGCGACCGUUCAGACUGCCCUCAAACCAGUUUUCGUCGAUCUGUUGGAUCAGGGUAAUUAUAUCCUUCUCCUGGAAAAACACGUUUAAUCAUUCAGGACUGUUGUAUACUCUAGAUGUGACUACAUAUAUAGAAAUAAGAAAAAUAUGUAUCGAUAAUGUUAUUUAAUACUUUGACUGUCAGCGUGAUGACAAGCGUGAUCUCUGUUAGACUCUGAAUUUGAAAGGUUGUUGAACGAUGUGUGACUUAUGCGUCGGUUGAUGUAAACUUCUUCAAACAACUCUAUUGCAUCACACAUGAUGAAUGAGAUUGAAUACUGCUGGUAUUGUGAUAAUAAACUUAACGUUAUAUGCUCUUUCAGCUUUCCAAAUGAAUUUAUAUUAUCUUAAAACUGAUUUAAUUAUUAAUAACUAUAAUUACAUUAAAAGUGAAAUAUAACAGUCAAAGUAUUAGAGAUAAUCCUACAAUUACAAUAACCUUAUCAUUGAUUGAACACAUUAUUAUAUUUACUUUGAACCCGAGUUCCCCAGAAUUUUCUGGCUUGAAGUCGAAUAAAGCUGUACAGCACGGUUGUCUUGUCAUCGGAGUCCUUGCUGGCGACUUGCUUGGAGAUGGCAAAGGAGAAGCUGAAAAAUAGUUGAACGCGCAUUGUUUUAAGAAGAAACAAAACAUACUUCUAGUCAAAUAAGACUAUUCAACGCAUAAAAUAAACUCUGUAUAUACUGAGGACUAAAAUAAAGAGUAAUCCUUGACUAAAAGUUACGUCUACAAUCCAUCGCCUGUAAUGAAAACAAAGCGAAAAGAAAAAUAAUAUCUGAAUUACUAACAGAAAGAGAAGGGUACAUAAAAAGCGGAAAAUGGAAGUCGAUUAGUAACACAAGGAGAAAAUAAGCCCAUGCAAAAUUUACCAUUAGCAGAUUGUGGCGGGUUUCCAGCCGGAAAUAGCUCGAGCUGUGAGCGCUUCCCUUCCAAAUGGACUGGAGACCCGGCUCGACUCGCCCCUAAAUUACGUCAAAAGGACAGACAUUCAAGUAUGCGAGAGUAUACACAGAGAACAGUUAGAGAAUGUGUAAUAGAAGUGUUGGUAAAUGAGAAUACUGCCCAUGUUAUUUCACAUGAUGUGCAUCUAAGAUUUUCUCUCGAGUGCUAAGAUACAAUGAAACUCAAUGAUUGUUAGAGAACAAAAAUAAGUAACAGGAGAAUCCAACAAGUAGAAGAUACGACAAUGUACAUGGCCAGAGAGUAUAGUUAAGGGACAUGUAGAAUUGUUGCAUGACAGAGGAGAGAGAAGUUCCCACCGUUCAUAGCAUCCGAUGUGGGUAAUGCAUCAACAUGUAGAUCAGCCAACGUCUUAGGCACAAACUCCAUUUUUGGCUUGUUCGCUGCUUCGUCUUUCCUAUAAUUUAGAAAUAAAUCAAUGUAUCAAGAAUGCGAAUGGAUUUCAGAGGCUCGAAAGAGUACGUACUUCUCCAGAAGCGUCUCUGUUAAUGCUUUCAAGAUCUCAGUACACUGUUGAUGGUAAUCCAAGAGAGCUUCGCUAAACGUUGCCAACUGUGCCACUUGCUCUACCUAAAUAAUAAUACAGCGUAUGAUAAAAAAGAAUUAUCUAAUAUUCCACUCGAACAGUCUUGAAGAAUCAUUGAUGCACUGCGAACAACUCACAUCGUUCUCCAACAAAUUGAACAUUCCCAUCUGUGCCAGAUGGAGGCUCUCCGCAAACUUUUCUUCAGCCUGACGUAUCUCGUCGUCUGAAACGUGAGAACCUGCUCGCAAAAUUUGCGCCAGCAAAGAUAUUAAAAAUUGCACUACUGGGUUGCUUCAUUGCCUAGGAUAGAUACACAAGAUAUACUGGGGAGAGAAAGAACGGGAAAGCGAGACAUAUAACUCUAGCAAAAGUAAACCGAACUCCAAGUGACGUCCAGGUGCUUUGAUCGCGUACGUCUUUUCCUUCCUAGUACAAGCAAAUACUGAAAUCCCUUAGAAGAAAUUUAUCAAAUGGUACAAUCAGCAUUCAGUGCACUCGCAAAUACUUGAGUAUUAUGUGUGUACUCGAGCAAGUAUACCUAUCAUUUUAUAGGUUAGGCACUUCAAAUUCACCCUUUUGCAAAUUAAAUUCAUCUUUUUGUAUGUUGAAUUCACCCUUUUGCAAAUCUAGCACUUCUAUGUGUAUAUUUUACUGGAAAAGUAUCAAAUGUUAGUAAGAAAUCAAGAAUUAAAGAAGUGUGUGUUAACGUUUAAUAUUUAUAUUACUUAUAUUAUUUCAGGGAAACUCAAACGUUUAAUAUUUGUACUAUUUACUUUGAAUCUCUUAAUUACGUAAUACGUAUUAACUGUAAUGAAUUGGCAAUUCGUUUGAAAUGAAUACGUAACACCCCUCUCCAACACAAUUCUUGAUUGCUCGCUAACUACUCUGACAUUUCCUCCAACAAAGUACAUAAAAUUCCCAGAUUCCCAAAAGUUUGAAUUCCAUCCACAAAAGCCUGAACGUAACUCACAAAGCCUACAUGGAAUUCCCCGAAAGAAAGUUACACGUGACUCGAACAUCUCUAAUCUGCCAUACGCCUACGUACAGGUGUAACAUACAGAAAGGCAAUCGAAAGAUCCGUGUCAAAGCCCGAGACUCUACAAGACUGGACUCAAGUUAGAUUCUAAAUAGAUCUCUUUUGUAUCACAUACCGGUAUAUGGCGAUGAAGUCCUUACCGGACUUCCACAAUGUGGACUGCCGGAUCUUUUCCCGGCUGCUAGUGAUCAAGGAAGCGUUCAAAGAAAGAAACAAUCAAAGUUGCUCCGGUGUGUAUAAUAAAUAAAAGAAAAGAGGGUGCCGAAACCGCCUAAACGUCAUCAUCGUCAUCGUCAGUCGUUAGACUGAGGUAAGAACGACCAACAAUUAUAAAUCAGAACGUGCACAUGCGGUAGUACAUGCGAGUGCGGUGUAUGUACAGUGAAAAUCUGCCUUAAGCUAGAUAUUUCUAUUCAAAUUUCUUAUUCAUUGUCACAUACAGAGUAGAAAUUACAAAGCAUUACAGUCGAGUAUCUCCAAAAAUAUUGACACUCAAAAAUGUUUCAGAAAGUUCAAUACC